ACAGUGGUUGGCUUAGGGCCCCUCCACUCCAGGAUGGCCUUUCAUCUGAACCCAGGGACCUCUGCAGAGACGCUAUUUUCUAAGAACGGUUCCACUCUCAGGUUUUGGGUGGCCCUGAAUCCGGCAGACCCCGGUCAGUCCAGUGGAAGUGUCAGGACCCAGCAAAGCUGAGAAGAGCGUCGCCCAAACACUAGGCUUCAAGGCUGCUGAAGAAACCACGAGAAGGUCAGAAGAUGGAGAUGAUCACAAGCCUACCCCCUUCCCCAGCUGUGACUCCUGUUUGUCCCCAAAGUUCACCGUCACACCUAUUUCACAAAACCCCAGCAGUGCUGAGAGGGGCCCUGAAACACCUCUCUUAGCUCUCCCACGUUGCGCCUCUGAGGACUGCCCUGAGCCGGCUGCCCACUGCCCCUCUCAGGGAUGUGUCCUUCACCAGCGUGGUCAGUGGUCAACAGUGUGGGACAGCCGCUCCCUGGGAUGGGUGCUCCCCUACAGGAUGGCCCAGGUCCAAGGGUCUGCUCCAGGACACCCUCACUCCCCCUCAGGGAUUGGGGUGGCCCCUGCAUGGCCUGGGCCUGCCUGCCCAGAACCCACAACUCUGGUAUAGGGUGGGGGCGGGGGAGCGGGCUGGCCUCUCCUAGCUAGGAACCCUGCUAGCCCUCAUCUGAGUUCCUUGAGGCCCCCUCCAUCCCUGCCAGCUUUUGCUGACACUCAGGGCGGCCUCUCUUGUCCUGGCUGCCUUGGCCUUCUCGCAGUUCUGGAACAUUUCACGUCCACCACUCACAGUCUCCGGACCACUGGACAAGGGACUUGGUUUCUGGGCCGCAGCUCUUCAUCGUGAAGGAGGACUGGGAGGUGUCACUUCCAAGGCUGUUGGGGAGUCAGGGGAGAUGACCUGGGAGGGUACCUGCCUGGCAUAGAACCUGUGUACACGUGAGGGAUGGCCAUUGCUCUGUGCUUGUUGAUUUCACUCGUGGGUCUGGUAUGAGGAUGGUGGUGUAUGUGAUGGGAUGGCUCUGUGGUCACCUCCCCUUGGCCAGCCCAAGAGGACGGCAUUUUUGUUCUCAGAGUCAGAUCACGAGCACCUUCCUGACGGCCAGGAUGGCUAUAUAAUUUGCAGUGUGUGGUACAAAAUGAAAAUGUGGGCCUCCCUCUAGAAUCAAGAAUUUCAAGAUGGUAACCACAGAGCAUUGAACCACUAGGGGAGGGCCCUUCUGAAAGACUGCGCAGGGCACGUGUCCAUGAGGUUGGCCCUGCUGGGGUGGGGGUGGGGGCAGGUUUCAGGGCCUUUGAUGGAGAGGGGGAGGUGGCAGAGGGACAGCCCAGAGAGGCCAGCCUCGGGGUUUCAUGUCCCCUCAUUUGUACUGGGCAAAAGUCACUCUGUUUCCUUUCUGGCCUAUUUUAGGCUUGACUUAGCAUGAAAAUUUUAUCGGAAAGUCAUUUUUCUCCAUCAAAGUCCAGAGGCUGAGAACCCUGCUGCAGGUGGGGGCUUAGGAGUGGCCAGGCAUCCCUGGAGGGAAGGGGAGGCUGGGGGCUGGGCUGGGUGGCUCCAUCCUCUGCCUGGCUCUCCUGGGAUGGGACCUACCUGGCUCUGAGACCUGAAGGGU
rnacentral:lncRNA from 1 species